AGUGAACGCUGGCGGUAGGCCUAACACAUGCAAGUCGAACGGCAGCACAGUAAGAGCUUGCUCUUACGGGUGGCGAGUGGCGGACGGGUGAGGAAUACAUCGGAAUCUACUUUUUCGUGGGGGAUAACGUAGGGAAACUUACGCCAAUACCGCAUACGACCUACGGGUGAAAGCAGGGGAUCUUCGGACCUUGCGCGAUUGAAUGAGCCGAUGUCGGAUUAGCUAGUUGGCGGGGUAAAGGCCCACCAAGGCGACGAUCCGUAGCUGGUCUGAGAGGAUGAUCAGCCACACUGGAACUGAGACACGGUCCAGACUCCUACGGGAGGCAGCAGUGGGGAAUAUUGGACAAUGGGCGCAAGCCUGAUCCAGCCAGACCGCGUGGGUGAAGAAGGCCUUCGGGUUGUAAAGCCCUUUUGUUGGGAAAGAAAAGCAGCAGGUUAAUACCCCGCUGUUCUGACGGUACCCAAAGAAUAAGCACCGGCUAACUUCGUG
rnacentral:rRNA from 1 species